rnacentral:rRNA from 1 species
GACGAACGCUGGCGGCGUGCCUAAUACAUGCAAGUAGAACGCUGAAGGAGGAGCUUGCUUCUCUGGAUGAGUUGCGAACGGGUGAGUAACGCGUAGGUAACCUGCCUGGUAGCGGGGGAUAACUAUUGGAAACGAUAGCUAAUACCGCAUAAUGGUAGAUGUUGCAUGACAUUUGCUUAAAAGGUGCAAUUGCAUCACUACCAGAUGGACCUGCGUUGUAUUAGCUAGUUGGUGGGGUAACGGCUCACCAAGGCGACGAUACAUAGCCGACCUGAGAGGGUGAUCGGCCACACUGGGACUGAGACACGGCCCAGACUUCUACGGGCGGCAGCAGUAGGGAAUCUUCGGCAAUGGACGGAAGUCUGAACGAGCAACGCCGCGGGAGUGAAGAAGGUUUUCGGAUCGUAAAGCUCUGUUGUAAGAGAAGAACGAGGGUGAGAGUGGAAAGUUCACACUGUGACGGUAUCUUAACAGAAAGGGACGGCUAACUACGUG